AGGGUUCGAUUCUGGCUCAGGAUGAACGCUGGCGGCGCGCUUAACACAUGCAAGUCGAACGGUUAAAGCACCUUCGGGUGUGUAUAAAGUGGCGAACGGCUGAGUAACACGUGGGCAACCUGCCCCUCGCACCGGGAUAGCCUCGGGAAACCGUGGGUAAUACCGGAUACUCCGCCCACCCCGCAUGGGGAGGGCGGGAAAGCGUGCACGGCGGGGGAUGGGCCCGCGGCCUGUUAGCUCGUUGGCGGGGUAACGGCCCACCAAGGCGACUAUGGGUAGCCGGGUUGAGAGACCGACCGGCCAGAUUGGGACUGAGACACGGCCCAGACUCCUACGGGAGGCAGCAGUGGGGAAUCUUGCACAAUGGGCGAAAGCCUGAUGCAGCCGACGCCGCGUGCGGGAAGAAGGCCCUCGGGUUGUAAACCGCUUUCAGCAGGGACGAGGCGCGAGUGACGGUACCUGCAGAAGAAGCCCCGGCUAACUACGUGCCAGCAGCAGC
rnacentral:rRNA from 1 species